UUUACUUAUUUGUUUUGUACUGAGACGACACGCUUAUACAAGAAUUUUGGUUGUGGGCCACCGGCGGAUGCGGGCCAAGGGGCCUAGACCCCUCGGCGGUCCCCGGGGGGACGGAUCCGCCGAAGCAACAAAUGGUAAGGUAGACAAAGGGUAGGAGGUCGAGCCCAGAAGACCCUAACUCGGUAAUGAUCCUUCCGCAGGUUCACCUACGGAAA
rnacentral:misc_RNA from 1 species